CCUAUGUAAUGAAGCCUCCAUAAAAACCAACAAAGGACAUUUUGGGAGAGCCUCUGGGAUCUAAGGGUUAGAAGCCUGCCGUGGAGCACAGACCCCUCACUUCUUAGGAAAAAAUUCUGUAUUUUGAGACCCUGCCUCAUUGUGGAACACAACACUUAUGGUGGAGUCUUAUUUGGCAAGGGAUAGAAACAGACAUGAAGGAGAUGGGAGU